AAGGACAAACUCUAUAGUUUAUAAAAUGAGAAAUCAUUUGUUACAAAAGGAAGAAAUAUGGCUAAAAUUGUGAAGUUUAUUUAUAUCACUAUUAUCGUAUCUUCUCUACUUUUUGCUGCAACAAACGUUGAAUCGUUCUAUAGUCGAUGUUCUAGUGAUUCAGAUUGUCUUUUAAAUAAGUGUCCACCCUUUCAAAUAUCAAAGUGUAUCAGAAAUUGGUGUAGAUGUGGAUAUCCAAAAGAGUUUGAGGAACCUUAAGAACACUUUUUUUUCAACAUGUUUUCAAACAUUCAUUUUUGUAUUGGUUGAAAUAUGUAUGAAUCCUAUUAAUUUAUGUGUGAUCUAUUUCUAAAGUGAAGAACCACACAUCUUUCAACUAAUAAAAAAAAAUGAGUGUUUAAGAGAGUGUUGAAAAUAGAGUGUUGCUGUCACUUCUCAAAAGAGUUUAUACCGUCUUAAAUUUGUAUACAGGAUCAUUUUCCAAGAGAGUAGCCCAUUUCACUGCAACAAUUGUGUUGUCACUUAGCUUUUGUGUUUGUGUUGGCACCCAAUCGUUUGAUUUUUAUUUUCUCAUCUAAUUCAAAUAGUUGUAUUUUAUUUGUAUGACUUUGUAAUCUAAGAUGAUGGCUAUGAAAUAAAAGAAGGUAUUAAUUAAUAUUA